rnacentral:rRNA from 1 species
CCUACGGGGGGCAGCAGUCGAGAAUCAUUCACAAUGGGGGAAACCCUGAUGGUGCGACGCCGCGUGGGGGAAUGAAGGUCUUCGGAUUGUAAACCCCUGUCAUGUGGGAGCAAUUUAAAAAGAUAGUACCACAAGAGGAAGAGACGGCUAACUCUGGGCCAGCAGCCGCGGUAAUACAGAGGUCUCAAGCGUUGUUCGGAAGCACUGGGCGUAAAGCGUGCGUAGGCUGUUUCGUAAGUCGUGUGUGAAAGGCGCGGGCUCAACCCGCGGACGGCACAUGAUACUGCGAGACUAGAGUGAGGGAGGGGGAACCGGAAUUCUCGGUGUAGCAGUGAAAUGCGUAGAUAUCGAGAGGAACACUCGUGGCGAAGGCGGGUUCCUGGACAUUAACUGACGCUGAGGCACGAAGGCCAGGGGAGCGAAAGGGAUUAGAUACCCCGGUAGUC